ACGACCUUACUUGAACAGGAUCUUGUCUAUAGGCUCAUACUUCUGUAUCCUUGAUUUCUAAGGAGACAGGCCCUAAACCCUGGUGGUCUUACCCUAGCCGGGGUGGUCGCACGGCGGUCUGACAGGUU
rfam:Eutrema salsugineum unplaced genomic scaffold scaffold_2, whole genome shotgun sequence.